GACGAACCGUGCGAACGUUGUUCGGAAUCACUGGGCUUAAAGGGCGCGUAGGCGGGUUGCCGCGUCCGGGGUGAAAUCCCACGGCUCAACCGUGGAACGGCCCCGGAUACGGGCGGCCUAGAGGGGGGUAGGGGCGGGCGGAACUCUGCGUGGAGCGGUGAAAUGCGUUGAUAUGCAGAGGAACUCCGGUGGCGAAGGCGGCCCGCUGGACCCCAUCUGACGCUGAGGCGCGAAAGCCAGGGGAGCGAACGGG
rnacentral:rRNA from 1 species